ACUCCAGGCCAAACUACAAUAUUCUAGCCUAGCACAACAAACUCCAGGCCAAACUACAAUAUUCUAGCCUAGCACAACACACUCCAGGCUAAUUUACAACAUUCCAGGCUAGCAGAACACACUCCAGACUAAUUUACAACAUUCCAGGCUAGCACAACACACUCCAGGCUAAACUACAACAUUCCAGGCUAGCACAACACACUCCAGGCUAAUUUAAAAAACAUUCCAGGCUAGCACAACACACUCCAGGCUAAUUUACAACAUUCCAGGCUAGCACAACACAUUCCAGGCUAGCAGAACACACUCCAGGCUAAACUACAACAUUCCAGGCUAGCACAACACACUCCAGGCUAAACUACAACAUUCCAGGCUAGCAGAACACACUCCAGGCUAAUUUAAAAAACAUUCCAGGCUAGCAGAACACACUCCAGGCUAAUUUACAACAUUCCAGGCUAGCACAACACACUCCAGGCUAAACUACAACAUUCCAGGCUAGCACAACGCACUCCAGGCUAAACUACAACAUUCCAGGCUAGCAGAACACACUCCAGGAUAAACUACAACAUUCCAGGCUAGCAGAACACAGUCCAGGAUAAACUACAACAUUCCAGGCUAGCACAACACACUCCACGCUAAACUACAACAUUCCAGGCUAGCAGAACACACUCCAGGCUAGCAGAACACACUCCAGGCUAGCACAACACACUCCAGGCUAAACUACAACAUUCCAGGCUAGCACAACGCACUCUCACAGCUAACACACGAGACCAAAAAAUAUCCCACUGUGCAAGCGCACAUAAAACCCUCCAAAAUACACUAAAGCAGUCCAAGUUUAUAUAAAGACUUCCAGCUAACCUACAACAAUCUUAAACCUGAAUCUAAACAAAACUAAAAGUGAAACCCCACACACACACACACACUUCACCACAAUCCUUAAUCCUCCGAACGGCAUUUCACUGCACAUGCACGUACGGUUUACAUUUAGAACACACCGACAUCAGAAAGGCUUUCUUUUCACUGACGUACUCAGAUCGUGUGUCUACACGUCGUAGAAUAACCAGCUCUAUUACUCCAGCCGCUGAAGUGUUUGUGGAGCGGUUUUAACGUCCAGUGAAAGCUGUGUACGCGAGCAGAGAUGGUUAGCGGCGACCCGAGCGCGAGAGUCUGAACGUCUGACCCACUGACAGUAGGUGUGUGACAGAGAGGUUACACAGUCGCCUACACGCCUGAGUGCGUGUCAUUUUACUUCUCAUUCAACGUUCUCUCUCACACACACACACACAAAACGGCAUGUCAUACCGCAUGGUGCUAAACUGGUGACCAGUUCCUUUAACCGAAAGUAACUGGAAGAGGCUCUGUGCUCCGGGGCGAGGCCGCACGCUUAGCGCUCCGAGCUGUUUCCUGCCUUUUAGAGCGGAUGUCAAAGCUGUUUAAUGGGACGGAUGCUGAGCGCAGCAGUUCUCUUUAUGAUCGCCC
ensembl:lncRNA